UACGAAGGGGGCUAGCGUUGCUCGGAAUUACUGGGCGUAAAGGGAGCGUAGGCGGACAUUUAAGUCAGGGGUGAAAUCCCGCAGCUCAACUGCGGAACUGCCUUUGAUACUGGGUAUCUUGAGUAUGGAAGAGGUGAGUGGAAUUCCGAGUGUAGAGGUGAAAUUCGUAGAUAUUCGGAGGAACACCAGUGGCGAAGGCGACAUACUGGCUCAUUACUGACGCUGAGGCUCGAAAGCGUGGGGAGCAAACAGG
rnacentral:rRNA from 1 species